UAAAAGGGCCGUGGUAUACUGACCAUGCGAAGGUAGCAUAAUCAUUAGCCUUUUGAUUUGAGGCUGAAUGAAUGGUUUGACGAGAGAUGGUCUGUCUCUUCGAUUAAAUUGAAGUUAAU
rnacentral:rRNA from 1 species